AAACUCAAGUUUCUCAGCAGAUCGUACAAAUCUUUCGCCUUUUACUAAAGAUUUCCGUGCAUAGGGACAGCAUGAGUAAUGAUUAAUUUUUGAUGUCCUGCCCAGAUGUAGGAC